CCUUAGUCUUCCUUGUGAAUACAAAAGCCAUCAGACUUUAGGAGGAGUAUGCAAUUUUUAUUAUUUACAUGUAUUGACAUUACAUUACAUUACGUGUACAUAACUGAGGGUAAAUAAUCAACAAUCAAAAUCAAAAUCUGAAGCAGUCUACUAUUGAAACAUUGCUCAUUAUGGAGUUGAACGCAUGUGUAUGAUUUUAUAUUUCAUGAAGUUAGAAGUUUAAUACCUCUAACUUAAGAUAUACAGAUUUUUGGAGGUCCUAAAAAUGCCAGGGCUCACUGAGCCAUGGUGAGAUGGAGCGAAAACACAUACUGUACUUGGACAGAAAUGUCAAGGAGAGAAAUAAGGAAAGACAUCUUCAUGCUUUCAUUUAGAGUUAAUACGAAUGGAAAAUAAACAGAAACUAGACAUCCGUAACCUCUUGGGGCUUCCGACCUCUGACUCUAAGGAUGAAAGAAUCUAUAAGUAUGACGUGGAUCAAGACCAGGACUUAAAGCUUGUUACAGACUGAAUGUGCUAACAGACCACCAUGCCCUGUUUUCUUUUGAUUGCUGAAGUUAGGAGCUAAACUGUCAAGUGCUCCAAUAAAAACAUGUCUCUACCAGGCCUUUUUUGCCUUCAGUAUAGUGUUGCAAGUAGCUGACAAUCUUGCCAGGCUAUUGUGUGUGCGUUUUUUUUUUUUUCAAAGUAACAUGAACUGUACCUUUUUGUCCUGUUUCUUUACUUUAACCCGUAGUUCCACCUGGUGGAGUGAUUAUGAACUGACCCUAGGAGGCAAAGAAAAUGAAACUGAAAAUCAGUGUUGCGACACAACAGCCUUCCUCAAGGACACUGUUAGGCAGAUCUUUUGUGGAACCUGCAGCUAGAAAAUAAAAAGUUUCCCUCAUCACGAUAUCAAGAUGUUUAUUUGUCAAAAGGCAGACCUGCGUUAUGUAUACAUUCACAAGGAGUAAAUUCCCAUUCAGGUUUGUCAAAACUGGGACUCAUUCAAAAUGUCUGAAACCAUAUGUUGGGAUCUGAGUAGGAACGUGUCCAGUUAUUAGCUAAUGUGAAACAAUGGAAGCUAAGCUAACAACCACAUGGGAGGCCACGUGUGGCUACGACGGAAGUGUUGGUAGUCGUAGUUCUUCACAUAGUUAAACCACCGUCUGUCGGUACAUCUAUUGCUGUGGAGGGACUUUAUGGUUAGUCCAUAAUAAAACAAAAGAAAGAAGAAAGCCACCACAGUGAGACACUAUACGAAACAUGGAUGCAACUUGUAAACUGAGUUCCUGCGCUCUGAAUAAAUACAAGUUCCAAAUACCAGUCUCAUUUGUUGGGGUCGAUCCAGCAAACCAACAAAAUAUUACAGCAGCAGAUACUGUGGUUAUUGUGCAGCGUUUACCGGGCUGUGGGGCUUGGACACAGGCCCAAUA
ensembl:lncRNA